CGUAGCCGCGGUAAUACAGAGGGUGCGAGCGUUAAUCGGAUUUACUGGGCGUAAAGCGUGCGUAGGCGGCUUCUUAAGUCGGAUGUGAAAUCCCUGAGCUUAACUUAGGAAUUGCAUUCGAUACUGGGAAGCUAGAGUAUGGGAGAGGAUGGUAGAAUUCCAGGUGUAGCGGUGAAAUGCGUAGAGAUCUGGAGGAAUACCGAUGGAGAAGGCAGCCAUCUGGCCUAAUACUGACGCUGAGGUACGAAAGCAUGGGGAGCAAACAGGAUUAGAUACCCCUGUAGUCCCUGUCUCUUAUACA
rnacentral:rRNA from 1 species